rnacentral:rRNA from 1 species
GACGUAGGGGACGAGCGUUGUCCGGAAUCAUUGGGCGUAAAGCGCGCGUAGGCGGCCAGAUAAGUCCGGUGUGAAAGCCACAGGCUCAACCUGUGAAUGCCGCUGGAAACUGUCUGGCUAGAGUCCGGGAGGGGCGAGUGGAAUUCCUGGUGUAGCGGUGAAAUGCGCAGAUAUCAGGAGGAACACCAAUGGCGAAGGCAGCUCGCUGGAACGGAACUGACGCUGAGGCGCGAAAGCGUGGGGAGCGAACAGG